rnacentral:rRNA from 1 species
UGGGGAAUAUUGCGCAAUGGGCGAAAGCCUGACGCAGCAACGCCGCGUGAGUGAGGAAGGCCUUCGGGUUGUAAAGCUCUGUCUUCCUGGACGAAGGCUUAAGGGUUAAUAGCCCAAAAGAUGACGGUACAGGAAGAGGAAGCCCCGGCUAACUACGUGCCAGCAGCCGCGGUAAAACGUAGGGGGCGAGCGUUGUCCGGAAUUACUGGGCGUAAAGCGCGUGUAGGCGGAAACUUAAGUCAGGUGUGAAAACUCGGGGCUCAACCCCGAGCCGGCAUCUGAAACUGGGUUUCUUGAGGAUGGGAGAGGAAAGUGGAAUUCCUAGUGUAGCGGUGAAAUGCGUAGAUAUUAGGAGGAACACCAGUGGCGAAGGCGGCUUUCUGGACCAUACCUGACGCUGAGACGCGAAAGCGUGGGGAGCAAACAGG